ACUCGAGGCAGAGAUCAAGACUGGUUCUGUAAGUUUUUCAGAAUUCUGUCGACAGUUGUUCAAUGGUUCCACCAUCAACGGCGUCCAGCACGUUGCGGCAGCAGCGACAUCUUUACGUAGGCUAGUGUGGAGUAUUAUCUCCGUCGUCUGUCUUGUUGGUUUCGUGUAUCAAAGCAUCCAGUUUCUACUCUUAUACCUGGCCAAACCUACUGUAGUGGAGGUCAACGUGGUCAUCGAACCUAAUCGACCUUUCCCUGCAAUUACUAUAUGUAACAAAAAUAGGAUCAGAUGGUCAGCUCUGUGCGACUUGUACCCAGAGAAAUGCGAGGCAAUAAGAAAAAAUAGGGAACAAGGGUACAUAAAUAUAACGGAAUUGGCUACUCUAACCUACUGGAGUUAUGCUUUAAAUAUUAGUGAGCGUGCUUCUCUUGGUCA